GACGAACGCUGGCGGCGUGCUUAACACAUGCAAGUCGAACGGAAAGGCCCUGCUUUUGUGGGGUGCUCGAGUGGCGAACGGGUGAGUAACACGUGAGUAACCUGCCCUUGACUUUGGGAUAACUUCAGGAAACUGGGGCUAAUACCGGAUAGGAGCUCCUGCUGCAUGGUGGGGGUUGGAAAGUUUCGGCGGUUGGGGAUGGACUCGCGGCUUAUCAGCUUGUUGGUGGGGUAGUGGCUUACCAAGGCUUUGACGGGUAGCCGGCCUGGGAGGGUGACCGGCCAAAAUGGGACUGAGAUGCGGCCCAGACUACUACCGGAGGGAACAGUGGGGAAUAGUGCACAAUGGGCGGAAGGCUGAUGCAGCAACGCCGCGUGGGGGAAGACGGGCUUCGGGUUGUAAACCGCUUUCGCCUGUGACGAAGCGUGAGUGACGGUAAUGGGUAAAGAAGCACCGGCUAACUACGUG
rnacentral:rRNA from 1 species